AUGGCCACACCGCCGGCUCCGGUGCCCUCGGCCACCGCCAACUCCGCGCCGACGCCUACGCAGUCACCGUUCAAGGCCCGACCCUUCUCCCAGCCCCCUUCCACUGCCGGUACCCUCAAGACGGAGAUCCCUCCCGCCUCCACCUCGGCCGCCACCGCCGCCGGAGUCGCCGCCGUGGGAGCCGCAGCCGAGGACUCAUCGCACGUCAUCACCGUCCCUAGCUACGCAGGGUGGUUCUCGUACGACAGCAUCAGCGACACGGAGCGCCGCCUGUUGCCGGAGUUCUUCGAAGGGGAGGUCGCGGCCGUGUCUGGGUCCCGGGGCCCGGAAGCCUACAAGUACUACCGCAACACCCUCGUCAAGAGGUUCCGGGCAAGACCAGCGCGCCGGCUCACGCUCACCGAGGCCAGGCGGGGCCUUAUCGGCGACGUUGGCUCUGUGCGCCGUGUGUUUGACUUCCUGGAGGAAUGGGGGCUCAUCAACCAUGGUGCUCCCCCGCUGGGGGCGAAGCAGGGGAAAGACAAGAGGGAGGAGGCGACGACUUCUCAGUCUUCUUCUCAGUCUUCAUUGCCUGCUGGACCAACCACACCCAAGAAGCUCUGUGUAGGGUGCCGCAGCGUCUGCGGCUCUGCCUAUUUCACCUGCGAGAAGGCGGAUAUAAGCAUAUGUUGUAGAUGCUUUGUGCGUGGCAACUAUCGGCCUGGUCUUACUCCAGCGGACUUCAAGAAAGUUGAAAUUAGCGAAGACGCCAAAUCAGAUUGGACAGACAAGGAAACUCUUCACCUACUUGAGGCUGUCUUGCAUUAUGGAGAAGACUGGAAGAAGGUUUCUGAGCAUGUUGGUAGUCGCUCGGAGAAAGACUGCAUUGCUAGACUCAUCCGAUUAUAUUUUGGAGAACAGUUCAUGGGAUCCAAGGAGCAGAAAAUGGAGUUUGAGAUUGAUGAUGUUACUAAUGAAUCUAGAGCAGAGAUCCCAAACCGACUCCGUCUCACACCACUGGCAGAUGCAAGCAAUCCAAUUAUGGCUCAGGUCGCGUUCUUGUCGGCAAUUGUUGGCGCAGGCGUUGCAGCAGCAGCAGCGCAAGCAGCUAUUUCUGCACAAUCCCAGGUUGAUAUGAAUGACAGCCAGACUGAUUCUCCAAUCAGCAGCACUAAAGAAGAAGUUUUCUCUGCAGAAUCUUCUUACACUAAUGGGCUUACAGCCAACGAUUUACUCAAAGAGGCAUCCACAAAUGCACAAGUGCAACUUCAAAAGGAGCAAAAAGAUAUAGAGCAAUCUUUAUCGGCUAUAGUGGAUGUCCAGAUGAAGGAAAUCCAGGAUAAGAUAAGCCGUUUUGAGCAGAAAGAGCUGCUUAUGGAGAAAGAGAGGGAGCAGCUUCAUCACUUACGGGAACUGCUUUUCGUGGAUCAACUCGCGGUUGUGCAGCAUCAGCGCAGACCGCAUGCUGUAGCGGCUGAGAACAAGGAGGAGGAGAAACCGAAACCUAUUAUCACCAUGAGUUAA
rnacentral:rRNA from 1 species